CAGCAGCCGCGGUAAGACGGAGGGUGCAAGCGUUGUUCGGAAUCAUUGGGCGUAAAGGGCGCGCAGGCGGCCUUUCAAGUCCGGUGUGAAAGCCCGAGGCUCAACUUCGGAAGCGCACUGGAAACUGAAAGGCUUGAGUCCGAGAGGGGACCGUGGAAUUUCUGGUGUAGGGGUGAAAUCCGUAGAGAUCAGAAGGAACACCGGAGGUGGAAACGACGGUCUGGAUCGGGACUGACGCUGAGGCGCGAAAGCGCGGGUAGCGAACAGG
rnacentral:rRNA from 1 species